AAAAGGUGUAUGAGUCCAAUAAACAGCAAUUAGCAAAUAGAAUGGAAUACAGAAACUUAUGAAUAAUAUAAUUCACCUCUUACAAGUCAAUUAUAGCCCUUUCCCAAACAGUUGAGACAUCAUUGUACCCUGUAAUACAAUGGGAAACCAUCAAUUCUUCAUGCCUGAAAAAACUAAAAAGAAGAAGAAAAGAAAAGAAAGUAAACACAAGACAUGCUUUGCAAAAGAGUAAAAAAUAAUGAAAAAUGUGGGUUAAGAAUCAAAAUUUGGAUUCUUAAAUUUUCAGAACAAUCAAACAGAAAAUAAAGAGAAAACAUUUUCAAAGUAAAUGCAACUCCAACCUGUUCCCAUCACAAGUAGGGCAAAUACAAGGGUUUAUAACAACAGGGUCAUACAGAGGAGGCCAUUCGAUUGUGGAGUUCCUCUUGCAUAGUUUGCAUAUGUAAUAGCCUUUUCCUCUACAAACCCCACAAGGCAAUGCAACCUAAGAUCAAACAACCCCACCAAAAUUAUGUAUAAGUAUGUAUACACAGAGAGAAAGAGGAUCUCUUACGCAUUUAGCGUCGCCAGCUGCUCGAAGCGUUCGCAUGGUGACAGAUGAAGCUAGAGAGAGUUAACAUUCCGCCGAAUAUGAUAGCAGUUGCAGCACCCAUGGCUCUGAGUGGCAGAGGCACACCGUCCACCAUCUUCUUUCUCGUAGGCGUCGCCUCGAGCACCUGGUGUGCCUGUAAAUACACAUACCUGCAACUCUAAUUCGCUCUGGCUGGAAAGCCUGGUUCUUUUCGUCAGCUCCCAAAAUUUUAUGCACCAGCUCAAAACGCAGCAUUCCUGUAGCGUGGCGAGUCAGGCGAUUGGCCGAAGGUGAAAAUUUAUGGCCAAAAAACUUUCUCAAUGGAACGGGUUAAGGAAUUAUAUGUAUUACUAAAUUGGAAUGCAUAAUUUUCCUUUUACCACAUUUUUCAAUCUCUACCACUCUUGCCAAAAAUCUUAGGCAUCCCAUGUGAGGAUCCAAGAAGGACGAUAACUAAUAUAUAUUGCUUACUAUAUCUCUGUUUAAUUGAACAUAAG
rnacentral:lncRNA from 1 species